AGAAACCAACAGGGAUUGCCCUAGUAACGGCGAGUGAAGCGGCAACAGCUCAAAUUUGAAAUCUGGCCCUCGCGGUCCGAGUUGUAAUUUGUAGAGGAUGCUUUGGGCGCGGCGCCUUCCAAGUUCCCUAGAACGGGACGCCUUAGAGGGUGAGAGCCCCGUACGGUUGGACGCCUAGCCUAUGUAUAGCUCCUUCGACGAGUCGAGUAGUUUGGGAAUGCUGCUCUAAAUGGGAGGUAAAUUUCUUCUAAAGCUAAAUACCGGCCAGAGACCGAUAGCGCACAAGUAGAGUGAUCGAAAGAUGAAAAGUACUUUGAAAAGAGGGUUAAAUAGCACGUGAAAUUGUUGAAAGGGAAGCGUUUGCGACCAGACCUUUUCCAGGCGGAUCAUCCGGCGUUCUCGCCGGUGCACUUCGCCUGGUUUAGGCCAGCAUCGGUUUUCCCAGGGGGAUAAAGGCGGCGGGAACGUAGCUCUCUCGGGAGUGUUAUAGCCCGCCGCGUAAUACCCUUGGGGGGACCGAGGACCGCGCUUCGGCAAGGAUGCUGGCGUAAUGGUCGUCAACGACCCGUCUUGAAACACGGACCAAGGAGUCGAACAUUUGUGCGAGUGUUUGGGUGUCAAACCCUCACGCGUAAUGAAAGUGAACGGAGGUGAGAGCCCCUCGCGGGUGCAUCAUCGACCGAUCCUGAUGUCUUCGGAUGGAUUUGAGUAAGAGCAUAACUGUUCGGACCCGAAAGAUGGUGAACUAUGCGUGGAUAGGGUGAAGCCAGAGGAAACUCUGGUGGAGGCUCGCAGCGGUUCUGACGUGCAAAUCGAUCGUCAAAUC
rnacentral:rRNA from 1 species